rnacentral:rRNA from 1 species
GUGGAUUAGAUACCCUGGUAGUCCUGGCCGUAAACGAUGUCGACUAGAUCGCAGUUCCUUCAACGGUAUUGCGGUCGAAGCAAAAGUGCUAAGUCGACCGCCUGGGAAGUACGGUCGCAAGGCUAAAACUCAAAGAAAUUGACGGGGGCUCACACAAGCGGUGGAGCAUGUGGUUCAAUUCGAAGCAACGCGCAGAACCUUACCUGGGCUUGACAUGCUAGGAUUAUCCCUAUGAAAGUAGGGUAGGCCCUUCGGGGUACAACUAGUACAGGUGCUGCACGGCUGUCGUCAACU